AACGAACGCUGGCGGCGUGCUUAAGACAUGCAAGUCGUGCGAGAAAGCCACCUUCGGGUGGUGAGUAAAGCGGCGCACGGGUGAGUAACGCGUGGAUAAUCUACCUGUAGGUCCGGGAUAACUCCGGGAAACUGGGGCUAAUACCGGAUAAGACCACGGGGCCCUCGGGUCCUGCGGAAAAAGGUGGCCUCUUCUUGAAAGCUAUCGCCUGUCGAUGAGUCCGCGUCCCAUUAGCUUGUUGGUGAGGUAAGAGCUCACCAAGGCUUCGAUGGGUAGCUGGUCUGAGAGGAUGAUCAGCCACACUGGAACUGAGACACGGUCCAGACUCCUGCGGGAGGCAGCAGUCGGGAAUUUUGGGCAAUGGGGGAAACCCUGACCCAGCAACGCCGCGUGAGGGAUGAAGGCCCUCGGGUCGUAAACCUCUGUCGGAAGGGAAGAAAGGCCUGCGCUCCAAUACAGCGGGGGCUUGACGGUACCUUCAAAGGAAGCACCGGCUAACUCCGUG
rnacentral:rRNA from 1 species